CCUACGGGUGGCAGCAGUAGGGAAUAUUGCUCAAUGGGGGAAACCCUGAAGCAGCAACGCCGCGUGGAGGAUGACGGUUUUCGGAUUGUAAACUCCUUUUGUUAGAGAAGAUAAUGACGGUAUCUAACGAAUAAGCACCGGCUAACUCCGUGCCAGCAGCCGCGGUAAUACGGAGGGUGCAAGCGUUGCCCGGAAUUACUGGGCGUAAAGAGCGCGUAGGCGGGAUAGCAAGUCAGAUGUGAAAUCCUAGGGCUUAACCAUAGAACUGCAUUUGAAACUGUUAUUCUAGAGUAUGGGAGAGGUAGGUGGAAUUCUUGGUGUAGGGGUAAAAUCCGUAGAGAUCAAGAGGAAUACUCAUUGCGAAGGCGAUCUGCUAGAACAUAACUGACGCUGAUGCGCGAAAGCGUGGGGAGCAAACAGGAUUAGAUACCCUUGUAGUC
rnacentral:rRNA from 1 species